rnacentral:rRNA from 1 species
AACCUACCUUCUACAGGGGGAUAGCCCAGAGAAAUUUGGAAUAAUACCCCAUACGAUCAUUGAUUGGCAUCGAUCAAUGAGGAAAACUCAGGUGGUAGAAGAUGGGCAUGCGUCCUAUUAGUUAGUUGGUGAGGUAACGGCUCACCAAGACGUCGAUAGGUAGGGGCCCUGAGAGGGGGAUCCCCCACACUGGUACUGAGACACGGACCAGACUCCUACGGGAGGCAGCAGUGAGGAAUAUUGGACAAUGGGGGCAACCCUGAUCCAGCCAUGCCGCGUGCAGGAAGACUGCCCUAUGGGUUGUAAACUGCUUUUAUACAGGAAGAAACUGUGCUACGUGUAGUGCACUGACGGUACUGUAAGAAUAAGGAUCGGCUAACUCCGUGCCAGCAGCCGCGGUAAUACGGAGGAUCCAAGCGU